CAUGUGAUUCACACUUUACACGUUUCUCACAUGUUCAAACAUCAUCUUGUAACAUCAGCCUCCUCCACCGCUUCGGAGCUCACCACCGAAGGCAGUGGAGCACCAAACAUUAAUAUCAGAUAUACCACAUCCCCCCAUUUUUCAAGCUCUAACUGAAUCCAACACUAAGGUUAGGUAUUUAAUUCCUCAAAAGGUGAAGAGAUGUCUCUUACUUGCCGAAGAUGAAGGCCUGAGACUGGAGAAAAUGAAGAUGUUUGAACAAGCUUCAGGUUCCAGGGUGAUGGCCUGCUGAUUGGUGAGCAAUGUGGUUGCAUUCCUACGACAGGAUUGUUGGCUUGUGGUCAUGGCUUCAAGAUAUGGCAAAAACAAGGCUUGGCAAGUGAACAUUCAAGGCAUGGCAAAAAACAAAACUUGGUGCAAAAGGUGGUUGCUCAUGAAUAAAUUUAGUGAUGGAAUCACAUGGAAAUAUGGGAAAUGAUAUGGAAUUCAAGUAGGCAUUAGGAUUAGGUAAUUAGAAUAGAUCAAUUGACUUUGGUCAAGUGGUUGACCAAAAAGUCAACUGUAGGUUAACUCUGUAUUUUUUUUUUCAUUUUUCUUGUAUAGACAAUGUAAAUGACAAAUAAGUUAAUGAAUGGACAAUAUUUUGAAUGGAAA